rnacentral:other from 1 species
AUGGGUCGCUAUGGUUCGUGACCUGGGCAGUAGCGCUGAGAUUUGCUACAACCCGUUCGACGUCUCUUACUUUCCUGCAACCCAGCCCAGUACUCUUUCAUUUGGAAGAAGCUGUUACUAAUUCUAAGUUUCAAAGGAAAUAAGACAAUGUCCCAACGUCAGAGCGGUACCGUCAAGUGGUUUAACGACGAGAAAGGUUUUGGUUUCAUCACUCCAGAAAGCGGUCCGGAUCUGUUCGUACACUUCCGCGCUAUUCAGGGCAACGGCUUCAAGAGCCUGAAAGAAGGCCAGAAAGUGACCUUCAUCGCCGUGCAAGGCCAGAAAGGCAUGCAGGCUGACGAAGUUAUCGCGGAAGCCUGAUUCCCGAUAUAAAAAGCCCCUGCUGACAACAGCAGGGGCUUUUUU